CGGGUACCCGUUUACUCCCCUGGUUGUUCACGCAACCAGGGGGGGGGGUUUGAUGUCCACGGUGGUCAUGGGCUUCGGUCACAUGGUCCAGCGCGGCGCCUGUAGGUCUUGAUGUUAACUCAUCGAAUCUUGUCUGGCCUUGGUUUCUGGUGAGGUGGGAGCACUACCCUACCGGGCGCGGCCGCCGUCCUCUCGUCACGACACUGCAAUGUCGUGAUGAUGACGUGCGGGGCGUUGUCCGGUCAGUCAGUAUGCUCUCUCCCGUCUUAACCUUGGCUGCAGGUCGGAGGGCGUUUCCAUCCACCCUGAUAGGGUGAUGUGUGAGGGUGACACACACUCCAAUUGAUCUCCACAAUUGGCUCCAAUGAUGACAUAUCAAGCGAAUAGCAUGCACCGGUGUACUAUGGGAACACAUCGGAAGUGGGAACGUAACUUGCCCUGUAGUGAAGUGCCCAGCUCACUAACCUAUUGGUAGAACGUGUUCUAAUGGAUGAUCAGGAGGAAGACGUCAGAGGUGAAAUGUGCUAGGUGAAGUUACCCCCGGAUGGUCUGCCGAGUGCGUUAAAAGCGAUUGGGCGAAAGACCCUGGAGCCUGUAUAGGGCGAAGUAGCGAGGAUCACGGUGGCGCCUUAACGGUUACUUCCCCUCCCUAUGGGUAUACAUAAUUCGGCCUGCGUGUCGAUGAAUGUUCCAGUCGGUCAAUACUGUAGCUUGAUCGCUCCUUUUGGUUAUCUUUCGGUAGACCGUGGCCUUUCGUCUGGAGUUUGUAAGGGGCCUGCGAUAUCUUUAGUUUUACCAUUGCGUCGGCUGACUACCCGCCGGCAUGGGGGUAGUUGGCGCGUUAAUUUAGCAACUUGGUGGAAUAUGUGAGCAUUCGAGCUGUCAGCACACCUGGAGGGCGGUGGCAGUGAGACCUGGAUGUAACAGGACAACUACAAAACGGCCCGGGGGGCCUGGAGGUAAUGUCAGUGGUAAGUACCGCCCCCCACCAUCCCGGUUAGUCAGAGCCGGGAUGGAGAGCUACAUAUUCCUUGCUUUGCCGACCAUGCUGGUAUAGAUGGUGAGCAUUGCGGCGCUCCGGGUGGUGACGCGACAUUGGUCGCUGAUCUUCGGUGUAAAUGGAAGCGCUGGCGGGCCCCUUAAGUAGCCAAAUGCCUCGUCAUCUAAUUAGUGACGCGCAUGAAUGGAUGAACGAGAUUCCCACUGUCCCUACCUACUAUCCAGCGAAACCACAGCCAAGGGAACGGGCUUGGCAGAAUCAGCGGGGAAAGAAGACCCUGUUGAGCUUGACUCUAGUCUGGUACUGUGAAGAGACAUGAGAGGUGUAGAAUAAGUGGGAGGUCUCGGCCGACGGUGAAAUACCACUACUCUUAUCGUUUUUCCACUUACCCGGUG
rnacentral:rRNA from 1 species